rnacentral:rRNA from 1 species
UGCCAGCAGCCGCGGUAAUACGGAGGGUGCAAGCGUUGUUCGGAAUUAUUGGGCGUAAAGCGCGUGUAGGCGGUUCGUUAAGUCUGAUGUGAAAGCCCGGGGCUCAACCCCGGAAGUGCAUUGGAAACUGGCGAACUUGAGUACGGGAGAGGAAAGUGGAAUUCCGAGUGUAGGGGUGAAAUCCGUAGAUAUUCGGAGGAACACCAGUGGCGAAGGCGGCCACCUGGACGGUAAUUGACGCUGAGACUCGAAAGCGUGGGUAGCAAACAGGAUUAGAUA